rnacentral:rRNA from 1 species
GUGCGAAGGUAGCAUAAUCACUUGUUCUUUAAAUGAGGACUUGUAUCAACGGCACUACGAGGGCUAUACUGUCUCCUUUUUCUAAUCAGUGAAACUGAUCUCCCCGUGAAGAAGCGGGGAUCAAAAUAUAAGACGAGAAGACCCCAUGGAGCUUUAAACUCAUCACGCACCUCUGUGCCCUCAUACCCUUAAACACAAGAGAUCUACGUGCUAGUUUUAGGUUGGGGGGACCACGGAGUAUAACUUAACCUCCAUAACAAAUGGGCUAACACCCUUAUCCAUGAGACACAGCUCUAAGAAUUACUAAACUAAUGCUUAUGACCCGAUAUUCGAUCAAUGAACCAAGUUACCCUGGGGAUAACAGCGCAAUCUACUUCAAGAGCCCAUAUCGACAAGUAGGUUUACGACCUCGAUGUUGGAUCAGGGUAU